rnacentral:rRNA from 1 species
UACGUAGGUGGCAAGCGUUGUCCGAAAUUAUUGGGCGUAAAGCGCGCGCAGGUGGUUCCUUAAGUCUGAUGUGAAAGCCCACGGCUCAACCGUGGAGGGUCAUUGGAAACUGGGGAACUUGAGUGCAGAAGAGGAAAGUGGAAUUCCAAGUGUAGCGGUGAAAUGCGUAGAGAUUUGGAGGAACACCAGUGGCGAAGGCGACUUUCUGGUCUGUAACUGACACUGAGGCGCGAAAGCGUGGGGAGCAAACAGG